GUGCUAAGUGCUGGUAUACACACGAUCUCCUCACAAAACCUCUUGGCAAACUGUCGACUCUAAUACCUAAUUCACUCUCCAUCAGUGAUGAAUCUUUUUUCAGUUUCCCAAUCUCGAUCUCCUCUAACUUUCUUUCUCCACUCAAAUGUCAUUUUCCUUUCUCGAUAUCUUGGUUGAUGGUGGGCUCGAUUCUUCUACCGGCUCACUAGAUUGCUCGGCUUCACAAACUGAUUCGGAUGCUUAAUUACUGGAUUAAUUAAUUGAUUUCACAGAUGGAUUGUUGGGCUUCUUUGUAUCGAUAAUAAGCUGCUUUAUUGCAGCUGCUCAGCCCUUUUCACCCUUGGAUCACAGAGCUCUUCCUCUUCAAAAACAAGCUGUUAUCUGCUAUUUUUUAUGGAAAUUUACUUCUCUUCUCUCAUUGGUCAUAAGCUAUUAUUAUAAAGUAACACUUGUCAACUUUUUUGAUCAGGCACAAGCCAGAGCAUACAGUCUUCUCAAGCUGCCUUCCACUCAAGACCAUAAAAAUCAGUCAUAGCAGCAAAUAUGAAACUUGAAAACACUUUCGAGCUGGUUUAGACUGUCUACAUACUAGUCUGAUAUGUGCUAUAAGGAAGAUUGGCGAAAGGCAAAACAGGACUCCCCAGAGUGUAAACUGUAUCAAAUCCUUGCCUAGGACAAACAUGGAUGAUUCAAGUCCUGCCAGUGGUCAUCAAAAUCAAAGAGUACCUGUUUACAGGUCCGAAGUCCUAAGUCCGUUGUUGAGAAAAAAGAUGUAGUUUAUACUUAAAAAUGUUAAGAUUCUGUGGUAUGUAAUGUAAUGUACUUUUCCUUUCAAGUCUAUAACAUUAAAUCUUUUAAAAUUUAUUGAAAAAUAAUGAUUCAA